GAUGAACGCUGGCUGUGUGCCUAAUACAUGCAUGUCGAGCGGAAGUAGCAAUACUUUAGCGGCGAAUGGGUGAGUAACACGUGCUUAAUCUACCUCUUAGAUUGGAAUACCUAAUGGAAACAUUGGUUAAUGCCGGAUACGCAUGGAGUCGCAUGACUCCGUUGUGAAAGGGGCCUUUAAAGCUCCACUAAGAGAUGAGGGUGCGGAACAUUAGCUAGUUGGUGAGGUAACGGCCCACCAAGGCUAUGAUGUUUAGCCGGGUCGAGAGACUGAACGGCCACAUUGGGACUGAGAUACGGCCCAAACUCCUACGGGAGGCAGCAGUAGGGAAUAUUCCACAAUGAGCGAAAGCCUGAUGCAGCAACGCCGCGUGAAGGAUGAAGGCCUUCGGGUUGUAAACUUCUGUUCUAAGGGAAGAAAGAAAUGACGGUACCUUAGGAGCAAGCCCCGGCUAACUACGUGCCAGCAGCCGCGGUAAUACGUAGGGGGCAAGCGUUAUCCGGAAUUAUUGGGCGUAAAGAGUGCGUAGGUGGUUACCUAAGCGCAAGGUUUAAAUUAGAGGCUCAACCUCUACAUGCCUUGCGAACUGGGCUACUUGAGUGCAGGAGGGGAAAGCGGAGUUCCUAGUGUAGCGGUGAAAUGCGUAGAUAUUAGGAGGAACACCGGCGGCGAAGGCGGCUUUCUGGACUGUAACUGACACUGAGGCACGAAAGCGUGGGUAGCAAACAGG
rnacentral:rRNA from 1 species